rnacentral:lncRNA from 1 species
GCGUCUGAAUGGGACCCGGGAGGGGAGGCGGCUCGGUCCUUCGUGCCGUCCUCCCCGCUGGGAGGGGCAGCUCCAGCUCCGCUCGGCUCGCUCCGCCCGGCCACACCGGCUUUUUCCCCAUCAGGCGGUCCGAGUGCGGCUCCUCGCGAGCCUGCAAAGGAGCAGCAGGCGGUUCCUUUUCGGACGACCUGGAGCGAGGCCUGCGGGACUGCGCGCCCCGGCGGGCGGCGUGCGGCUCCCGGCAUGCGCGGCGGCUGCGUUCCCGCCGCCUCCGAGCUCGCCUGGGGCUGCCGCCCGCCUCCUGCCGGGCCCUCGGGCUCGCCCGGCACCGCGGGGCUUGAUCAGGGAGAUAUUUUAGUACAACAUCUUUUCAUCACAGAAAUGAUAUCUUCAGGGAAAAGACUUCGAAAAAGUGCCUGAAGUGACACAACACAUGUUUUCUUCUGGUAUCUGGCUAAAGCCUUCUCUUCUAAGCAGCAUAAACUACUGCUGCCUACAUGUUGCCUGUUCAUAAAGGCUGAGGCAGGGGAGUCGCUUGAACUCGGGAGGCGGAGGUUGCAGUGAGCCGAGAUCAUGCCAUUUCCCUCCAGCCUGGCGACAGAGCAAGACUCCAUCUCAAAAAAAAGAAAAGAGAAGAAAAAAACAAAGAACUUUAUGCACCUUCUGGAAUAACAAAAUGCAAAUGUAAUGUUAUCUACCAGGAUAGAAAUUGGAGGCUAGAAUAUGUUGGGUAGGGUAGAGAGACUAGAGGGAAUGAUUUAGCAAUAAAAUAGGUUUAAAUAUCUUCUCACGUGCCCAGACUUAAUUAGCUUUGUAUUAUUCCUAUUAGUAAGCCAGGAAUUAGUACUAGGUGAUAAGCAAGGAUGUGCAGGGCCUUGUGAGGAAAAGAGUUACUGUAGCAGUUCUGGAUGCUUACCCCUUGCAUGUCUCCAGGGGAACCAUCUUUGACCUUGGCCAACCCCUGGAUUGCAAUCCUUGGAGUGUUCUUUAUGUUAGUGAUGAUGAUUUUGUUGUAUACACCUGGAGCAUUGGACCAUUCCAUACUGGCUCGCCAGGUUGCGUUGCACAAACACCAAGACUGAUAAAUAGGCACCUGGUUUUAUUAUUGGGCCCCUGAGUUUUGGUUGCCGUAGCCAAUUCCAUAGCAGAGUAUGAGUACAUGAACAGCCUCCCACAAAAGCCUUAAACCCUGAGACUCAAGUGGGAUUCUGUGGGCAGAGACAUUCCACACGUGUCUAUAGUUUGCUGAGAGAGAGACAGAAUUCCUGUGUAGCUGCAGACAAAGGACAACAGAAUCCUAUGUUGGACCUCUCUGGACUCCACUGAUACAUCUUUUCCUGUUGCUUUUGCCCUGUAUCCUUUGCUGUCAUUAAUCUGAGCCACGUAUUAAUAUAUAACCUGCUAUUGAGUCUUGUGAGGCCUUCUGGGAUCACCAAAGGAAACAACCAUAUACCUAGUACUGAAGAGAUUUUUUUAAAAGCCCAAUUUGUCCAUCUGAGUCUUGAUAGGAUUCACUGAAAAAGAAUAAUCAACAUAUGUGAGUAUCUGCAGUGUCGAGGUUUAAAUGAAAUCAAGGCUUUGGUCUUUGUCCAUGAGACAUUUAUAGUCUUUAUAGGGACAUGACACAUGUUAGGGAAAUGCUUAUAAGCAUAAGUAUAAAUAAAAGCAAAUUGGCAAUGAUGGCAGAAUUAAAGAGAGAUUAAAAUUGGUAAAAAUCAAGCAAGGCUAAUGAAAGAUGGUAGGUAUUUAAGAAGAGAUAUAGGACUGCAUUAUCAAAUGAUAGCCAUAAUUUUCCCCCAUAUGUACUUUAGCAGUAUGUAAAAACUGUAAAACAAAAAACUUUUUUCUUGGAUUUUAUCUGAUAUAUUCCAGGCUCAACUCAAGUUUGAUGAAUUAUUUGUACGGAAUCUAAAUUUGUACUAAAUCA